GCUCCUCCACCUCCAUGUCUCAAAAAAGUAUUACUUCUUUCUUUGCUCCAACCCAAAAGAAUUCGGAUAAAAGUGGUACAAAACCACAAAACAACGAAGGCGG